GCAUUGGUGGUUCAGCGGUAGAAUUCUUGCUUUCCACGCGGGAGACCUGGGUUCAAUUCCUGGCCGAUGCA
rnacentral:tRNA from 1 species